ensembl:lncRNA
CCACUAACCACAUGGCAGAUUCAUUCAACAAUACAGGAGCUGACAAUCCAAAUUCUAAAAACACCACAUCCAUCUAACAACCUGCAAUUUAAUGGAAGAAAAACAUGGCAGCCCAUUACACGGUCAUAUCCUGCAAGAAACACACCGUCUAAUGAUCACCGCUCGUAGAAGCAGCAGCGGGGUCAGAGCGAAAGUGUUCACCUGGCUGAAAGAACAGAGGGACACACACAUCCAUCAGCAGAGCAAUACACACUUCCUGUUUGAGGUAUGUGAGGAGGAAAUAAGCUCUCCAGCUGAGCCAAGGAAGUCGUCAGAAAAUGUUCAAACGUCAAUCACUCGGCAUCUCUGAUAGCCAUUUCCUGCUGAGGAUGAUGAAGAUGGGUUGCGAUGAGUGCCAAAACUCACCUUUGACACCACAAUUGGGCACAACAGAGCAUCUGUUUAUAUCUCUUAUAAUGUAAGUGAUCACAGGAACUAACUUGUUUCAUGGAUGUUCCACAAGUAAACUAUAAGUGAAUAAAAUGUAUGAGAUGUCGUGCAUUGACAAAUACAAAAUUGUUAGCGUUGUUAUCAGCGUCAGGUCCAAGCAGUGUCUGUCAUGGUGUGUCAGUGCCCAUGGCAUGGGCAUCAGUGAGGGCACUAUUAAUGCAGGUGAUGUCUCUUGUGUGGAAUGAUGAGAAAACUGCAGUGUGUAAUCUCUGUAAUCUCUGCACUGAUAAAAA